AAGACUCAAGAGAGUAACGACUAAUCUGAAUCAGUAGCAACAAGAAUAUGGAUGGUAGUAUGAAAUCAUCUUUCUGGAACUGGACCCAUCGCAGCAACUCAAAUGAUGCAAGUCUGAUGCAGAACAUACUCUUGUGUUUUCCCCAUUUUGGAACCUGGACAGCAAACAAGCUCUAUGGCCAAUCAAUCACUGGCACGGCACAUUCAGGUAAAUGAACACAUCACCAGAAUAAAAUGUUCUUGUUUUGACUCCUUGAUUCAGCUGCAAUCUUAUCAGCGGCAACAAUUUAACGUUUCACGAUGCAAAAUGUUGAAUUCUUCACUGAUAAUCAUAGCUGCCAUCCCUUCGGAUCUAUAUCCACCUGCUACGUACAUAAUUUAAUGCAAAAAUCAGUACAAGUAAGAUGAUACUACACAUGUUAGAGAGCAUCUUGCAAGUAUAAGCUUCAACUAUCAGAAUUAUUUCUUUAUCUUGCAAAAAAAUUUACAGCCAGCAGUUCCUUCAUUUGAUUUUUGCGUGUAAGCUAAGAUUAUACAAACUAGUUGAUUAGCAUCAUUGUCCAAUAAGCGGAAGGGAGGAUACAAGAAUUUUGCAUCAAUAUACUAGUUUAUGCACCCCCCCCCUCCCCCACCAAAAAAAAAUGGUAAAUGAAUAUACAAACAAAAAACAAAACCUAGAAUCUGCCAGCAUGCAGAUCAAUCCUUCACAAGUGACCGGCACACUGAAGAAGGAUAGACAUAUUUGUACGCUUCGUAACUUUUAUAGUUGCCAUUUUCAGAAGCACAAGAAUACUCAUCUUUCUUCCAGAAACAUCUAGAAGUUCCAAAUCUACAUCACUAACGGUUAGCUAUCAGUUCAACAUAUUGCAAUACUAAAAUUGCAGCUUCUACAAACAGGUACAGUUGCAGCUAUUGGAAGAAGUGGAAAAGAAAGUUGAAGCAUCUUCAGUUUUCGAGUAAUACAAGAAUCCGGGAAAAGCUUAAUUUUUACCCGUUUUCAUUGUAUAAAAGUAAAAAGUUGGCCCCGGGUUCCGAAGCUGUUUGAAAACUAAGAUACAAGAUAAGAGAGCGCUAAUGAAACCCACAGGGUUUUGGCUGAAUGAAGAAAAUGAAUAGUCAAUACCAGUAGAAAUCACUUUCAAAACUGAAACAGUGAUAAUUGCAUGCCACUACUGAAAUGUAAAUAAAACGAAAACCUGAAAUGCUUUAUUUCUCCAGUGAAAGAUGCAGCCACGAGCUUCUACGUGAUUCAGGAGAGCCUGAGGCAUUGAUGCUUUAAAGGUUGAGUGAAGCUUCACUUUUCUCAGUCCCUGACAAGCUAACAGAGCAGCACCAAGCCCACUGGCAGUCAGUCCAGUUACAUGCAAGAUAGUCAUGCUGUGCAAGUGGUU
rnacentral:lncRNA from 1 species